AACGACUCUCGGCAACGGAUAUCUCGGCUCACGCAUCGAUGAAGAACGUAGCAAAAUGCGAUACUUGGUGUGAAUUGCAGAAUCCCGUGAACCAUCGAGUUUUUGAACGCAAGUUGCGCCCGAAGCCAUCCGGUUUAGGGCACGCCUGCCUGGGCGUCACGC
rnacentral:rRNA from 1 species